GACGAACGCUGGCGGCGUGCUUAACACAUGCAAGUCGAACGGAAAGGCCCUGCUUUUGUGGGGUGCUCGAGUGGCGAACGGGUGAGUAACACGUGAGUAACCUGCCCUUGACUUUGGGAUAACUUCAGGAAACUGGGGCUAAUACCGGAUAGGAGCUCCUGCUGCAUGGUGGGGGUUGGAAAGUUUCGGCGGUUGGGGAUGGACUCGCGGCUUAUCAGCUUGUUGGUGGGGUAGUGGCUUACCAAGGCUUUGACGGGUAGCCGGCCUGAGAGGGUGACCGGCCCACUUGGGAAUGGGGAACGGGCCAGGCUCCUACGGGAGGCAGGCGGUGGGAAAUGUGGCAAAGGGGGGGAAGGCUGGUGGCGCAACGCCGGGGGGGGGAUUGCGGGCUUUGGGUUGGAAACCGCUUUCGCCUGGGACGAAGGGUGGGGGGCGGGUAAGGGGAAAGAAGCCCCGGCUAAAUCCC
rnacentral:rRNA from 1 species